UACAGAGGGUGCGAGCGUUGUUCGGAAUCACUGGGCGUAAAGCGCGUGUAGGCGGCCCACUAAGUCUGAUGUGAAAGCCCGGGGCUCACCCCCGGAAGUGCAUUGGAAACUGGUGGACUCGAGUCCCGGAGAGGAGAGUGGAAUUCCUGGUGUAGCGGUGAAAUGCGUAGAUAUCAGGAGGAACACCGGUGGCGAAGGCGGCUCUCUGGACGGUGACUGACGCUGAGACGCGAAAGCGUGGGGAGCAAACGGG
rnacentral:rRNA from 1 species